rnacentral:rRNA from 1 species
UACAGGGGGGGCAAGCGUUGUUCGGAAUUACUGGGCGUAAAGGGCUCGUAGGUGGCCAACUAAGUCAGACGUGAAAUCCCUCGGCUUAACCGGGGAACUGCGUCUGAUACUGGAUGGCUUGAGUUCGGGAGAGGGAUGCGGAAUUCCAGGUGUAGCGGUGAAAUGCGUAGAUAUCUGGAGGAACACCGGUGGCGAAGGCGGCAUCCUGGACCGACACUGACACUGAGGAGCGAAAGCGUGGGGAGCAAACAGG